GACGUAGGGCGCGAGCGUUGUCCGGAUUUAUUGGGCGUAAAGAGCUCGUAGGCGGCUUGUCGCGUCGAAUGUGAAAACCCACGGCUCAACUGUGGGCUUGCAUUCGAUACGGGCAGGCGUAGAGUUCGGUAGGGGAGACGUGGAAUUCCUGGUGUAGCGGUGAAAUGCGCAGAUAUCAGGAGGAACACCGAUGACGAAGGCAGGUCUCUGGGCAUUAACUGACGCUGGAGGAGCGAAAGCUGGGGAGCGAACAGG
rnacentral:rRNA from 1 species